rnacentral:rRNA from 1 species
UACGGGGGGGGCAAGCGUUGUUCGGAAUUAUUGGGCGUAAAGAGCGCGUAGGCGGUCCGAUAAGUCGGCUGUGAAAGUCAGGGGCUCAACCCUUGAAAGCCGGCCGAUACUGUCGGACUAGAGUCCGGAAGAGGCGAGUGGAAUUCCCGGUGUAGCGGUGAAAUGCGCAGAUAGUCGGGAGGAACACCAAUGGCGAAGGCAGCUCGCUGGGACGGUACUGACGCUGAGGCGCGAAAGCGGUGGGGAGCAA